GACGAACGCUGGCGGCGUGCCUAAUACAUGCAAGUCGAACGAACCGCGACUAAGUGCUUGCACUAAGUCAAGGUGAGUGGCGAACGGGUGAGUAACACGUGGGUAACCUACCUCAUAGUGGGGGAUAACAGUCGGAAACGACUGCUAAUACCGCAUAGGACAUAGGAUCACAUGAUCCAGUGAGGAAAGGUGGCGCAAGCUAUCGCUAAGAGAUGGACCCGCGGUGCAUUAGCUAGUUGGUGGGGUAAAGGCCUACCAAGGCGAUGAUGCAUAGCCGACCUGAGAGGGUGAUCGGCCACAUUGGGACUGAGACACGGCCCAAACUCCUACGGGAGGCAGCAGUAGGGAAUCUUCCGCAAUGGACGCAAGUCUGACGGAGCAACGCCGCGUGAGUGAAGAAGGUCUUCGGAUCGUAAAGCUCUGUUGUUAGAGAAGAACAGCGCACAGAGUAACUGCUAUGCGUGUGACGGUAUCUAACCAGAAAGCCACGGCUAACUACGUG
rnacentral:rRNA from 1 species